ACUUCGGGAACCGGAGCUAAUACCGGAUAAUCCUUUUCUACUCAUGUAGAAAAGCUGAAAGACGGUUUACGCUGUCACUUACAGAUGGGCCCGCGGCGCAUUAGCUAGUUGGUGAGGUAACGGCUCACCAAGGCGACGAUGCGUAGCCGACCUGAGAGGGUGAUCGGCCACACUGGGACUGAGACACGGCCCAGACUCCUACGGGAGGCAGCAGUAGGGAAUCUUCCGCAAUGGACGAAAGUCUGACGGAGCAACGCCGCGUGAGUGAUGAAGGUUUUCGGAUCGUAAAACUCUGUUGUUAGGGAAGAACAAGUACGAGAGUAACUGCUCGUACCUUGACGGUACCUAACCAGAAAGCCACGGCUAACUACGUGCCAGCA
rnacentral:rRNA from 2 species